rnacentral:ncRNA from 1 species
UGAAAUGCUUUGACGGAAUUAUGCCUGGACCAGAGCGCUCCAGAGAGCCGGCGGGUGGUGCGAGCCGGUGCCGAAGGUCCCUGUGCAGUCUGCCUCCCGAGCAGAGCUCCUGAACCCCAUUGAGUAGGGAGCUCCGGUUUCCCCGUUACAGGAUAGGGACUUGUUGGAGUCCCGAACAAGAGGGACUGCCCCCGCUGCGCGCCAGCGGCCGGGCGGUAACCAGGGUGGUACCGCGGAAGAGAGUUUUCGCCCCUGAA